AUUGAACGCUGGCGGCAGGCCUAACACAUGCAAGUCGAACGAGCGGCGGACGGGUGAGUAAUGUCUGGGGAACUGCCCGAUAGAGGGGGAUAACUACUGGAAACGGUAGCUAAUACCGCAUACCAUCAGAUGAACCCAUAUGGGAUUAGCUAGUAGGUGGGGUAACGGCUCACCAAGGCGACGAUCCCUAGCUGGUCUGAGAGGAUGAUCAGCCACACUGGGACUGAGACACGGCCCAGACUCCUACGGGAGGCAGCAGUGGGGAAUAUUGCACAAUGGGCGCAAGCCUGAUACAGCCAUGCCGCGUGUAUGAAGAAGGCCUUCGGGUUGUAAAGUACUUUCAGCGGGGAGGCGUUACCCGCAGAAGAAGCACCGGCUAACUCCGUGCCAGCAGCCGCGGUAAUAC
rnacentral:rRNA from 1 species